rnacentral:rRNA from 1 species
AUGCCUAAUACAUGCAAGUCGAGCGAACCACUUCGGUGGUUAGCGGCGGACGGGUGAGUAACACGUGGGCAACCUGCCUGUAAGACUGGGAUAACUUCGGGAAACCGGAGCUAAUACCGGAUAAUCCUUUUCCUCAUCAUGAGGAAAACGCUCGAAAGUCAGGUUUCGGCUGACACUUACAGAUGGGCCCGUCGGCGCAUUAGUCUAGUUGGUGAUGGUAACGGCUCACCAAGGCGACGAUGCGUAGCCGACCUGAGAGUGGUGAUCGGCCACACGUGGGACUGAGACACGGCCCAGUACUCCUACGGGAGGCAGUCAGUAGGGAAUCUUCCACAAUGGACGAAAGUCUGAUGGACGCAACGCCGCGUGAGCGAUGAAGGCCUUCGGGUCGAUAAGAGCUCUGUAUGCUUAGGGAAGAACAAGUACCGGAGUUACUAGCUCGGUACCUUGACGGUACCUAACCAGAAAGCCACGGCUAACUACGUGCCAGCAGCCGCGGUAAUACGUAGGUGGCAAGCGUUGUCCGGAAUUAUUGGGGCGUAAAAGCGCGCGGCACGGCGGGCCCUUU